UGAACGCUGGCGGCAUGCCUUACACAUGCAAGUCGAACGGCAGCACGGGUGCUUGCACCUGGUGGCGAGUGGCGAACGGGUGAGUAAUACAUCGGAACAUGUCCUGUAGUGGGGGAUAGCCCGGCGAAAGCCGGAUUAAUACCGCAUACGAUCUACGGAUGAAAGCGGGGGACCUUCGGGCCUCGCGCUAUAGGGUUGGCCGAUGGCUGAUUAGCUAGUUGGUGGGGUAAAGGCCUACCAAGGCGACGAUCAGUAGCUGGUCUGAGAGGACGACCAGCCACACUGGGACUGAGACACGGCCCAGACUCCUACGGGAGGCAGCAGUGGGGAAUUUUGGACAAAGGGCGAAAGCCUGAUCCAGCAAUGCCGCGUGUGUGAAGAAGGCCUUCGGGUUGUAAAGCACUUUUGUCCGGAAAGAAAUCCUUGGCCCUAAUACGGUCGGGGGAUGACGGUACCGGAAGAAUAAGCACCGGCUAACUACGUG
rnacentral:rRNA from 1 species